UACGGAGGGGGCUAGCGUUGUUCGGAAUUACUGGGCGUAAAGCGCGCGUAGGCGGCUUUGUAAGUUAGAGGUGAAAGCCCGGAGCUCAACUCCGGAAUUGCCUUUAAGACUGCAUCGCUAGAAUCAUGGAGAGGUUAGUGGAAUUCCGAGUGUAGAGGUGAAAUUCGUAGAUAUUCGGAAGAACACCAGUGGCGAAGGCGACUAACUGGACAUGUAUUGACGCUGAGGUGCGAAAAGCGUGGGGAGCAAACAGG
rnacentral:rRNA from 1 species